CCCUUAGAUGUUCUGGGCCGCACGCGUGCUACACUGAGUAAAUCAAUGGGUAAGGGAACACGAAAGUGCAACCUAAUCUUCAAAUUUGCUCGUGAUGGGGAUCGACGGUUGCAAUUUUCCGUCGUGAACGAGGAAUACCUUGUAGGCGCGUGUCAUCAUCACGCGCCGAAUACGUCCCUGCCCUUUGUACACACCGCCCGUCGCUCCUACCGAUUGAGUGAUCCGGUGAGGCUCUGGGACCUGGACGGAAAGAGCGUUUCGCUUGUUCUGUUUGGGAAACUUGGUCGAACCUUAUCAUUUAGAGGAAGGAGAAGUCGUAGCA
rnacentral:rRNA from 1 species